rnacentral:misc_RNA from 1 species
GUUUUUUGGGAACAGAAUAGAAUAAUCGUGGCAGUGGAGGGGAAGAGGGAAUCUAUUCUUCCUUUGCUUUGAGGAGCCGAAAGCAUAAAAGAGAGUGCCGAACAAAGGUUAUCAGCCUCAUCCUCAGCCUCUGGUCACUCAUUCCCAAGCUACCUCCCUUACCACCUCAUCACCUCUUAUCGUGGUUUUCUUCGACGACUUCAAUCCAGAGGAGGAAGAAGAAGAAGACGACUAAUCUGGGGUUUCUACUAGUCCCAAAUUAGUAGCAGUGGAUAGAACCUGAUAAUCCUGUUCAAUUUCAAUUUUUCUCAGUGGGCCUUAAUUUUGUUUAGCUUAGGCGAAACUGAACAGGCAGCUCUACAACUUAGUUGCAAGUCCUAUUGUGAAAGUUUAAAUUGGUUUAGCACUAUCCCUAGCCACCUCUUGGGUCUUGGCCCCUGGUGGUGGAGAGCUUUCGUGAUAGUUAUUUGGUUAAGGAUUUCAGACUCAAAGGGAAAGCGUUGACAAUUUCUAUCUUUCAUCAACCAAUAUUGGACCGGUGUCCCCUCUGAAUAAUAUUGUCGUGUUGGAUCUGAUUUAAACUGAUAAGAAGCCAAAAAAUAUCAAUUUCCUGAGCUACACAUGCAUGCAUUUUUACUGGACUUUUAAUUAAGUGAAAGGAAGUGAACAAUCAUGCAUAAGGAUCAAAGUACUAGUGCCCCGUCGGCACCUUCUCGACUUCGUAAUCGCAGGCGCUCCAGUGAGGUUGUUCCAGAGGUUAGUAAAGAAAAUGGAGGCCGUUUGCUGGUUAAUGAUCGAAACAAAUACAAGUCAAUGUGGGUCCGUGCGCACUCAACUAUUUGGAUGAUUGGGGGCUUUGCUUUGAUUGUCUACAUGGGUCAUCUCUCUAUCACAGCUAUGGUGGUUGUCAUUCAAAUAUUUAUGGCAAAAGAGCUAUUCAAUCUACUUAGGAAAGCACAUGAAGAUAGGCAUCUCCCUGGAUUUAGACUUUUAAAUUGGCACUUCUUCUUCACUGCAAUGCUAUUUGUGUAUGGCCGCAUUCUCAGUCAACGGCUAGUCAAUACCGUAACAUCAGACAAAUUCUUGUAUCAGCUUGUUAACAGCCUCAUCAAGUAUCAUAUGGUUAUUUGUUAUUUCUUGUAUAUUGCAGGUUUUAUGUGGUUCAUUCUUACACUAAAGAAGAAGAUGUACAAGUAUCAAUUUGGCCAGUAUGCAUGGACACACAUGAUUCUAAUCGUGGUGUUUACUCAAUCCUCUUUCACUGUGGCAAAUAUUUUUGAGGGAAUUUUCUGGUUUCUACUUCCAGCCACACUAAUUGUCAUCAAUGACAUUUUCGCUUAUAUCUUUGGUUUCUUCUUUGGAAGAACCCCUUUGAUCAAGUUAUCACCAAAGAAAACUUGGGAGGGAUUCAUUGGAGCAUCUAUCACAACGAUGAUCUCUGCAUUUGUGCUUGCAAAUAUAAUGGGGCGCUUUCAGUGGCUAACAUGUCCAAGAAAGGAUUUGUCGAGUGGUUGGCUUCAAUGUGAUCCUGGCCCUUUAUUUAAGCCAGAGUAUUUUACUUUGCCAGCAUGGGUUCCUAAAUGGUUUCCUUGGAAAGAAAUCUCCAUUCUGCCUGUUCAAUGGCAUGCUUUAUUGCUUGGUUUGUUUGCCUCAAUUAUUGCACCUUUUGGAGGCUUUUUUGCAAGUGGUUUCAAGAGAGCUUUUAAAAUUAAGGAUUUUGGUGACAGUAUUCCUGGCCAUGGGGGAAUUACAGAUAGAAUGGAUUGCCAGAUGGUGAUGGCUGUGUUUGCAUACAUCUAUCAUCAAUCAUUCGUUGUGCCUCAAAGCAUCUCAGUUGAAAUCAUCUUAGAUCAGAUUUUGACGAACCUUACUUUUGAGGAGCAGCAUGCUUUGUACACCAAACUUGGGGAAAUCAUUCAGGAAAGGUUGGUUGGACAAUCUUAGAUUUGUGAAGGCCACAUCUUUGACGUUCUUAGUAUUUGAAGCAUAUUAGUACAUCUUAGCCUAGCAGUGAAAGAAGAAUUGUUUGUAUAUAUUGCCUUUCCUAUUUCAGAUUCAUGUUCUCUAGGUGGAGGCAUUCUUUAGCGAGCACAAUAUGUAUAGCAUUAAAUAUGCAUAAAACUGUCAAUGGCAUGUAUUGCUAAUUGCUGAAAUUUGUAAUCCAAAAUUGUCAUUUCAAGGGAGUGCAAGAACUAGAGGUGGCGUGGCAACUCAAAAAGCAAAUUUAAAAGCAAGAUUAGAAGCAACUAAAAUUUUCGAGGCAGCGAUCUUCUUGAGAAACGUAGAAAUGAUUGAUUUGAGCUAGGUUACGGUUAUCUGUUUGUUUACUUGCAAUUCCCUAAUCUAGAAAAACAGAAAUUUACUUCUUAGUUUGUUGUUGGUAAAGUGAAAGUUUUAUAACAGUGGUUUUUGUUGAUUUUCAUCAAAUUUGGAACCAAAAAUUCACAUCUUCAUACUUGAUGUAGUUUGAAACUUUAAUAUUAUUGGGUCAGGUGGCCAAAAAUUGACUGUGUUGCAUCUACUAUCAAAGUAUGAAUACUGGAGAGUGUGUGAAUCCACUUGUUGCUGGAUAAAGUUUUGUGGAAAAUUCUUUGGAUAAUCAUUCUGUCAGCUUUUCUCUAUUCUUUCAGUAUUUGAGAGAUUAAUAGUUUCAGAUUUCGUUCUUGUGGAUUUGGAAACUGAGUGUUCUAAUGUCUGUAGAUCCUUUUCCUAUUUCGUAAGUUCAGGUUGAGGUUCGACCAUCUUGAUUUAGACUUGCUGCCAAUGAUUUCUUCAAUUGUGUGAAAAUGAUUCGGUAUGUUUUAUCAACUAUGUUCUCGUUUUGUCAUUUAAUGAUCACUCUUAGGAAUAGUUUGAACUUUAAUUAAAAAAAAAGAAAGAAAA